rnacentral:misc_RNA from 1 species
GUAAAUCCAAGGUUUGUAAUUAUGCUUUGUAAGUUUAUCUUGUAUUUUAACUGAUUCACUUAGUUCUCUCUAUGCAAUUUAUAAUCAAGUUGUACAAUUUCAUGUUGCUUAAUAGCUUAGUUGCACUAAAUUUAUCUAUUAUUAGUUUGAAUAUUGCAUAAUGAUCUGAGGCUUCUAUUUCAUGUUCUAUGAUACUGUUCUUUCACCCUUCAAGGGUUAUUGUUGGGUUUGAUUCUUUGUGCCAUGCUAAAGUUUUUUGGACUUUUCAUGACCAAGUACUGAUCCCUGUAUGCCUGGUAGUUUAAAUGUGAAUUUUUGGGGAGUCUUCGAUGGAG